rnacentral:tRNA from 1 species
GGCGCCAUCGACCAAUGGCUAAGUCGUCGGUCUUUCAAUCCGAAAAUGCGGGUUCAAUUCCCGUUGGCGCUU